GCGCUUGUGAUGUAGUGGUUAGCAUAUUGCUCUUAUACUUGCUGUGCCUUUUCGGCGUAGCCUGUAUGGUAGAAAUGCAAAGGUCGUGAGUUCAAUCCUCACCUGGCGCA